rnacentral:lncRNA from 1 species
GUGAUAAUUGAUAGAUGAUUAUUUAUUUCCAUUUUGAACCUCGUGUUCCAGUUGAUUCUAUGGCUCUCCAUUCUUCCUUUCUUUUUUUUUUUUGGUUGGAUGGUCUCCUGUUAUUAUCUGCUUGAGUGCAUUUUUUUUUCAUUUUUUGCAAAUGCAAUAUUUGCUUUUGGCUUGUGGUUGCCCUGUUUAUUUUAUUUUUCUCAUUCAAAACCUAUUUUAUUUUAUUUUAUUUUAUUUUAUUUUAUUUUUACAUUUUCCACUGUACAGCAAGGGGGUCAGGUUAUCCUUACAUGUAUGCAUUGCAAUUACAGUUUUUUCCCCCACCCUUUCUUCUGUUGCAACAGGAGUAUCUAGACAUAGUUCUCAAUGCUAUUCAGCAGGAUCUCCUUGUAAAUCUAUUCUAGGUUGUGUCUGAUAAGCCCAAGCUCCCGAUCCCUCCCACUCCCUCCCCCUCCCAUCAGGCAACCACAAGUCUCUUCUCCAAGUCCAUGAUUUUCUUUUCUGAGGAGAGGUUCAUUUGUGCUGGAUAUUAGAUUCCAGUUAUAAGUGAUAUCAUAUGGUAUUUGCCUUUGUCUUUCUGGCUCAUUUCACUCAGUAUGAGAGUCUCUAGUUCCAUCCAUGGUGCUGCAAAUGGCAUUAUGUCAUUCUUUUUUAUGGCUGAGUAGUAUUCCAUUGUGUAUAUAUACCACCUCUUCCGAAUCCAAUCAUCUGUCGAUGGACAUUUGGGUUGUUUCCAUGUCCUGGCUAUUGUGAAUAGUGCUGCAAUGAACAUGCGGGUGCAUGUGUCUCUUUUAGGUAGAGUUUUGUCCAGAUAGAUGCCCAAGAGUGGGAUUGCAGGGUCAUAUGGAAGUUCUAUGGAUAGAUUUCUAAGGUAUCUCCAAACUGUUCUCCAUAGUGGCUGUACCAGUUGACAUUCCCACCAGCAGUGCAGGAGGGUUCCCUUUUCUCCACAGCCCCUCCAGCACUUGUUAUUUGUGGAUUUAUUAAUGAUGGCCAUUCUGACUGGUGUGAGGUGGUAUCUCAUGGUAGUUUUGAUUUGCAUUUUCUUAUAAUCAGCGAUGUUGAGCAUUUUUUCAUGUGUUUGAUGGCCAUCUGUAUAUCUUCUUUGGAGAAAUGUCUCUUCAGGUGUUUUGCCCAUUUUUCCAUUGAUUGAUUGUUUUUUUUUUUUUUUUUUUUUUGCUGUUGGGUUGUAUAAGUUGUUUACAUAUUCUAGAGAUUAAGCCCUUGUCCGUUGCAUCAUUUGAAACUAUUUUCUCCCAUUCUGAAAGUUGUCUUUUUGUUUUCUUUUGGGUUUCCUUUGCUGUGCAAAAGCUUUUCAGUUUGAUGAGGUCCCAUGGGUUUAUUUUUGCUCUAAUUUCUAUUGCUUUGGGAGACUGACCUGAGAAAAUAUUCAUGAGGUUGAUGUCAGAGAGUGU